UGGGUAAAAUAACGAAUUACAUGUAACUCUCUGUCCCUCUGGUGGAGGCUGUGGAAAACUGCAGCCAAUCAAACAAACCCUCUGUGUCUCUGCAGCUGAAACUGUUCACACUGAUGAGCAGAGUUUCGGAGGCAGAAAAGCUCAGGGCCAAAAAUAAAGGUCUAAAUCCUAUUGAAAUGUGGUGUAAAUGCAUUUUUAAAUGGAAGCUAAAUCGGACGAAAAGUUUAAAUUAAUUAAACGUAAAUAAGCUGGUAACAUCUUGGUCAGAGCCUGCUUAGAUGCUGUUUAGAGAUGGGGGAGUCUCGGGCUGUGGUGGAGGAUUUUCUGUCUCUGUGUUUACAGAGAAUCACCUUGGAGCAGUCAGCCAUGAACACAGAACUGGAGUUCCUGGAGGUGGUGAAAUCAUUCGAGGCCAUGAGGAGGCGCUGUCUCGCGGCAGAGUCAGAGUUAAAAAGUUUAAAGAGCUGCUGGUGAAGUCAGAUUUGGCCAAAGCAGCGCUUGAUGUUAAACUGAAGCAUGUGAGAAACCAGCUGGACCUGGAGAUGCAGAAACGGCUGCGAGUGGAGCGUGACUUUCAGUACCUGCAGCGGCAGAUGCAGCUCAUGUGUGACAUUCUGGUACAAGACACCAAGUCAGUUCCUGUUUAA
rnacentral:lncRNA from 1 species